AUAGAACGCUAGCGGCAGGCUUAAUACAUGCAAGUUGAGGGGCAGCAUGAUAUACGCGAGUAUAUUGAUGGCGACCGGCGGACGGGUGAGUAAUAGGUAGGAGACCUACCUCAGUACAGGGGGAUAGCAUAGAGAAAUCUGUGGUAAUACCCCAUGAGGUUAUAUGAAUAGAGGCAUAUAAUCAAAGCAUAAGCGAUUAUGCGGUAUGAGAGGGGCCUACUGACCAUUAGCUAGGUUGGUGAGGUAAGGGCUCACCAAGGCGAAGAUGGUUAGGGGUUUUGAGAGAGAGACCCCCCCACAUUGGAACUGAGAGACGGUCCAGACUCCUACGGGAGGCAGCAGUAGGGAAUAUUGGGCAAUGGGCGAAAGCCUGACCCAGCCAUGCCGCGUGAAGGAAGACGGCCUUAUGGGUUGUAAACUUCUUUACUACGCGAAUAGAGGUUAGUACGAGAUACUAAUAGGAAGGUAGUGUAGUAAAAAGCACCGGCUAACUCCGUG
rnacentral:rRNA from 1 species